UACGGGGGGGGCAAGCGUUGUUCGGAAUUACUGGGCGUAAAGGGCUCGUAGGCGGCCAACUAAGUCAGACGUGAAAUCCCCAGGCUCAACCUGGGAACUGCGUCUGAUACUGGUUGGCUUGAAUCCGGGAGAGGGAUGCAGAAUUCCAGGUGUAGCGGUGAAAUGCGUAGAUAUCUGGAGGAAUACCGGUGGCGAAGGCGGCAUCCUGGACCGACAUUGACGCUGAACGGCGAAAGCUAGGGGAGCAAACGGG
rnacentral:rRNA from 1 species